rnacentral:rRNA from 1 species
GACGAACGCUGGCGGCGUGCUUAACACAUGCAAGUCGAACGGAAAGGCCCUGCUUUUGUGGGGUGCUCGAGUGGCGAACGGGUGAGUAACACGUGAGUAACCUGCCCUUGACUUUGGGAUAACUUCAGGAAACUGGGGCUAAUACCGGAUAGGAGCUCCUGCUGCAUGGUGGGGGUUGGAAAGUUUCGGCGGUUGGGGAUGGACUCGCGGCUUAUCAGCUUGUUGGUGGGGUAGUGGCUUACCAAGGCUUUGACGGGUAGCCGGCCUGAGAGGGUGACCGGCCACAUUGGGACUGAGAUACGGCCCAGACUCCUACGAGAGGCAGCAGUGGGGAAUAUUGCACAAUGGGCGGAAGCCUGAUGCAGCAACGCCGCGUGCGGGAUGACGGCCUUCGGGUUGUGAACCGCUUUCGCCUGUGACGAAGCGUGAGUGACGGUAAUGGGUAAAGAAGCACCGGCUAACUACGUG